UGGGGAAUAUUGGACAAUGGGCGAAAGCCCGAUCCAGCAACGCCGCGUGUCGGAAGGAGUCCUUCGGGAUGUAAACGACUUUUGGUGGAGACGAAUAAGCAGCUCAGGGAAUGGGGCUGUGAUGACGGUAUCCAUGGAAUAAGCCCCGGCUAACUACGUGCCAGCAGCCGCGGUAAGACGUAGGGGGCAAGCGUUACCCGGAAUUACUGGGCGUAAAGGGAGCGUAGGCGGAAGGUCAAGUCCGGUGUGAAAGACCCUGGCUCAACCAGGGAUGAGGGCUGGAAACUGACAAUCUUGAGUACAGCAGAGGAAGAGGGAAUUACCGGUGUAGGGGUGAAAUCCGUAGAGACCGGUAAGAAGGCCAGUGGCGAAGGCGCUUUUCUGGGCUGUUACUGACGCUGAGGCUCGAAAGCCAGGG
rnacentral:rRNA from 1 species